AACGAACGCUGGCGGCAUGCCUAACACAUGCGAGUCGAACGAGACCUUCGGGUCUAGUGGCGCACGGGUGCGUAACGCGUGGGAACCUGCCCUUAGGUUCGGAAUACCUCCCCGAAAGGGGUGCUAAUACCGGAUAAUGUCUUCGGACCAAAGAUUUAUCGCCUUUGGAUGGGCCCGCGUUGGAUUAGCUAGUUGGUAGGGUAAAAGCCUACCAAGGCGACGAUGCAUAGCUGGUGUGAGAGGAUGAUCAGCAACACUGGGACUGAGACACGGCCCAGACUCCUACGGGAGGCAGCAGGGGGGAAUAUUGGACAAUGGGCGAAAGACUGAGCCAGCAAUGCCGCGUGAGUGAUGAAGGCCUUAGGGUUGUAAAGCUCUUUUACACGGGAUGAUAAUGACAGUACCGGGAGAAUAAGCGCCGGCUAACUCCGUG
rnacentral:rRNA from 1 species